rnacentral:rRNA from 1 species
CAGUCGCCACGGUAAUACGAAGGGUGCAAGCGUUACUCGGAAUUACUGGGCGUAAAGCGUGCGUAGGUGGUGGUUUAAGUCCGUUGUGAAAGCCCUGGGCUCAACCUGGGAAUUGCAGUGGAUACUGGGUCACUAGAGUGUGGUAGAGGAUAGUGGAAUUUCCGGUGUAGCAGUGAAAUGCGUAGAGAUCGGAAGGAACAUCUGUGGCGAAGGCGACUAUCUGGGCCAACACUGACACUGAGGCACGAAAGCGUGCGGAGCAAACAGGAUUAGAUACCCCCGUAGUCCCUGUCUCUUAUCC